rnacentral:misc_RNA from 1 species
GAGGCCCCGGAGGUGACAUGCUCAUAUCUUUGAAAUAAGGAGGCUCGUGAAUGUAUGUCGACGACGUGUCCCAGGAGUAGAGUGUUCCUUCAGGAACAGACAAAAGAUUCCAAGUCGCAUUUCCUUCAGUGAUUGCUUGGUAUGUGGCCCGAAACAUGUCAGGCAAUACAUUUGAGUGUACAACUUCUGCAACUUCUUCGCUAGUUGGCCAAAUGUCCCUAAAGAAUACUUCCUUUCCAUCUUUUCCCAGCCCAAUAGGCUCACUUUCAAAGUCGAUAUCCACAGUGCCAGCAAGAGCAUAGGCA